rnacentral:lncRNA from 1 species
CCCUCAAGUUACCCAUUACCCCCUCCAUUUUCUUUUUUCUCUUUUUUUCUUCCUCGGCUCAUAUCUCUGCACUUCUUUUGUUUUAUAAUAUCAGAAGCAAGGGUGUGGCAGUGUGGCUGUGGCCCCUAAUAAUAUUCCAAAUUUCCAACAUUUUUAGCUGUUACCUGGCCUAGCUUGCUAUUCUUGCUUUGCUCGGCCAACUUAUUUGGGACUUAACAUGUGAUCGAUCGCGUUACAUAUAUGGUAGUACUAGUUGUAGUGUAGACGGGUACAUACACUGUGUAGAAGAGCAGAACCUGCACACACACACACUGACACACACACACACACAGCAAUCCAUGCAUAUCCACCAUGGCGAGGCUCCAAUUCAUCUUCUUCCUCAUGCUGGCAGUCGUCGUCUUCCUCGCGGAGAUCCAGGUAAUGUAGCAAGGAAUUGCAUGAGAAAAUAUAAUAUGUCUUCCAUUCAUUUACAUUUGUUACAGUAUGCAUCACGCGUGGGCAGGUGGGAGCUCUCCACACCCUGGUGGGCACUCACCCUGGUCGGCGUGGCCAGAUGGGGGCUCGGGACACGACGGAGGCCACGGCGACGACGGGUCAGAGUCACAACACUAGGGAUGAGGCGCUAGCGACUUCGAGCAGUGAUAUUGAUGUGGACUUGUGGUUUAUGUUAUGAACCUGUGGCUUAUGUUAUGAACUUGUGGCGACUUUAUGUUAGAUUUGUCAUAUCUAUGUGAAUUUGUGAUAUCUGUGGACUCCAAUAUGUUUUAUGUAUGAUUUAUAUGUGGAUUUGUGAUAUAGACAUGUGGAUUUGUGAUAUGUGGCUGUGCAUGUAAAAAAUAGAAAAAAAAACAAAAAAAUUCCAGCUUUGUCGAGAGCCAGAAUAUCAGCACUCGGCAAAGAUGGAAAGCCAGAAUACCAGAAUACCAGCUUUGCCGAGAGCCUACCAGGCUAGCUCUCGGCAAAGUUCUCCUUUGCCGAGAGCCAGCCUGGCAGGCUCUCGGCAAAGAUUUUUUUUUUUUAAAAAAAUAAAAAGUCUUUCCGAG